CCAAGAAAGAGACAGACCAGCCUAUAUGUGAUUAGUAUCGUGGGAAAAUCAUAAGAGGCUAUGGAGAAAACGUGAACUUAUAUUUUUAAAUCGAGGAAAGUUUAAACGUUUUAAGAGGGCAAAAGUAAGCAUUAAAAAACUAAAGGAAUUCGACUUGUAGCUAGUGAUGGCUGUUGUGACUGUCUGCUCUGCAUUUCUGUGCAGAGGAUUGUUUUGUUUUGGUGAUAGUAGGAGUUCGAUCAAGGGCUUCCUCUGUGCUCGGCAAACACGACCGCUGAGCUGCACCCACAGCUGAGCUGCACCCACAGCAUCUCAACGGUGUAGCUCCGGCUGGCCCUGGCUGGCCCCGGCUGGCCCAGGCUGGCCCCGGCUGGCCCAGGACUCACAGAAAUUUGCUUGUCUCUGUGUGCAGUCCUUACUUUGGUUGCUUUAUCCAUUGGUCUUCUAAAGAAAUAAGAGUAUAGCAGUUCACUAUCCAAAGUAUUUAUUCUUUUCACUACUUGCUGUUGCAAAUAAAAUAAUUUUAUUUAUUUA